rnacentral:misc_RNA from 1 species
UGGGACCGUCAUAUCCACAUGGAGUCGAAGGAGUGCCACAACUGCCAAAGUGAAACAGAAACCAGGCCACAGGAUAAUGUCUUCUGGUUUUCUUUUUGAACCUUAGCAGAAACAAACUUGGUCUAUGAAAAUGGAGAGUUGUUCCCUGCAAUCAUCUACUAUACCCACCAUACUCACUUCUCUAACCAAAACUGGCUUCCUUGACAAAGCUUCUGUACAUGGUCAGCUCCUCAGAUUCCCCAGUUUCAAUAAGUAUCCACAUGCCAGAAAGCUUAAAACUUUGGACGUCAAAGCUCAAGCCUCAGGUAUUACCAAAUUCAGCUCAGGGGCAGUUGAGGCCAUUCCAAAGGAAACAGAUAUUAAAGAUGAUAAUCUUGUAUUUGUUGCUGGUGCAACUGGUAGAGUCGGGUCACGGACAGUGAGGGAGCUUCUCAAACUUGGUUUCCAAGUUAGAGCUGGAGUCAGAAGUGCUGAGAAAGCACAAACUCUUGUGCAGAGUGUUAAGCAAAUGAAACUUGAUGGUGAAGGAGCUCAGCCUGUAGAGAAGCUUGAAGUGGUAGAAUGUGAUUUAGAGAAAAAAAAUCAGAUUGGAUCAGCAUUGGGCAAUGCAUCUAUUGUUAUAUGCUGCAUUGGAGCUGGUGAGAAAGAGGUCUUUGACAUUACAGGACCUUAUCGAAUUGAUUAUCAGGCUGCCAAAAGCCUCAUUAAUGCAGCAACUGCUGCAAAAGUUAAACAUUUUAUUAUGGUUUCGUCAUUGGGAACAAACAAAGUUGGAUUUCCUGCAGCUAUUCUGAAUUUGUUUUGGGGUGUCUUGAUUUGGAAGAGAAAAGCAGAAGAAGUACUCAUAGCCAGUGGUAUUCCUUACACUAUUGUGAGACCUGGAGGAAUGGAGCGACCCACUGACGCAUACAAAGAAACACAUAAUAUUACCUUAUCAGAGGAAGACACUUUAUUUGGUGGCCAAGUGUCAAAUCUUCAGGUGGCUGAACUCAUGGCAGUUAUGGCUAAAAACCGUGGGCUUUCCUACUGUAAAGUGGUGGAAGUAAUUGCUGAGACAACUGCACCCCUGACUUCAAUGGAUAAGCUUCUUGAAAAAAUACCAUCUCAACGUGUUGAACCAAAGGAACUGGAUGCAGCUGAGGGGCCUGCUACUGUGGCUCCUAAGGAGGUGGCAAUUGAAGCUCCAAGUCCAAGUUCUCUUUCUCCCAUUGAGAAGGGACCUCAACAAGCAACUGUGACAAGGCCACUGUCUCCUUAUUAUGCUUAUGAUGAUUUAAAACCACCCACUUCCCCUACUCCAACUCCACCUGGUGGUCAGAAAGAAAGAUAUGAUGAUCUCAAACCACCAACUUCCCCAUCUCCUACUGCACCAGGGGAAUCACUCCCAACAUCUUCCUUGAAUGGAGGGUCUAAGGUGGUCAACAAUGCACCUCCAACAGCAUCAAAAGAUGAACAGCAAAAUACAGAAGCAAAGCCAAGGCCACUUUCACCUUAUGCCAUGUAAGCUUGAUGUCUUAGGUGUUUUUUUCGUUUUCCAUUGAAUUUUCUGGAAGGUUAGCCAUUUCAUAAUUGCAGAAAUAAAAAGCACUACUGACUUAGAUUGCCCAAUCCAGCAUAUUCAAGGACAAAACUCUCCUAACACUUGAUGGUUUCAUUUUAAAACCUGGCCAACCUAUAUGAUAUUGUUUCAGAUAGUUUGUAGUACCCCAUAAGGCCAUGGGCCAUACCCUUUUGUAUGCCAUGAGAAGAUCAAAAUUACAGUUUCUGAGGUCUUUCUCUAUUUCUUUUCAUAACAAGGUAUGAAGACAUGAAACCUCCAACUUCUCCAUCGCCAUCACCAAGGACAUAGAAUUGAAACGACUGCACAACCAGAGGAACAAAAAGAGCGAAAAAAGAAACAUUUCAAAGUAGUGUCAAUCUUGACAUUGUCAUUGUGCCAGGGAAUCCAUUCAACACCUAUCCUUGUAACUUAUGAAGAGGCUGGCAACUUGACUUGCGGCUGUCAGUUAUACGAAUAUUUUUGUAAUUGGAUUCAUUUGUUUUUGCUCAUUUAUAAUAUAGGGGGUGUAUGACUUUGAGAUCAACUUUGAAUAACUCAGGCUUGACUUGUCAUUUUUUAAAAGGUUUGAAUUUAAUUUGAAUUUUAAUAUUAUAGCUCAAGCUUAGCUCAUUGUUUGAGCUUGACUUGAAGUUAACUCAUUUCAAACA